AGAGUUUGAUCCUGGCUCAGAACGAACGCUGGCGGCGCGUUUUAAGCAUGCAAGUCGAACGGGAAGGUAGUGCUUGCACUACUGGAGAGUGGCGAACGGGUGAGUAACACGUAGGUGAUCUACCUUGAGGUUGGGGAUAGCCUGUGGAAACACAGGGUAAUACCGAAUACGUCCAUGGGGGUAAAGGACCAUGGGGAAAGGCGCGAUUGCGCCGCCUUGGGAUGAGCCUGCGGCUCAUUAGUUAGUUGGUGAGGUAACGGCUCACCAAGGCGACGAUGGGUAGGGGGUCUGAGAGGAUGGCCCCCCACACUGGGACUGAGACACGGCCCAGACUCCUACGGGAGGCAGCAGCUAAGAAUCUUCCGCAAUGGGGGAAACCCUGACGGAGCGACGCCGCGUGAACGAAGAAGGCCGGAAGGUUGUAAAGUUCUUUUCUUAGUGAAGAAUAAUAUAGCGAGGAAAUGCGUUAUAGAUGACGUUAGCUAAGGAAUAAGCCCCGGCUAAUUACGUGCCAGCAGCCGCGGUAACACGUAAGGGGCGAGCGUUGUUCGGAAUUAUUGGGCGUAAAGGGCGCGUAGGCGGCUUGGCAAGCUUGGUGUUAAAAACAACGGCUUAACCGUUGGUAAGCAUUGGGAACUGCCUGGCUAGAGGUCUGGAGGGGGAGCUGGAAUUCCUGGUGUAGGGGUGAAAUCUGUAGAUAUCAGGAAGAACACCGGUGGCGAAGGCGAGCUCCUGGCCGGAAACUGACGCUGAGGCGCGAAAGCGUGGGGAGCGAACAGGAUUAGAUACCCUGGUAGUCCACGCUGUAAACGAUGUGCACUAGGUGUCUGUCUGUAGAGGAUGGGUGCCGUAGCAAACGCGAUAAGUGCACCGCCUGGGGAGUAUGCUCGCAAGGGUGAAACUCAAAAGGAAUUGACGGGGGCCCGCACAAGCGGUGGAGCAUGUGGUUUAAUUCGAUGAUACGCGAGGAACCUUACCAGGGCUUGACAUAUACAGUGAAGCGUGUGAGAGCAGGCUGCCACUUUUGUGGACUGUAUACAGGUGCUGCAUGGUUGUCGUCAGCUCGUGCUGUGAAGUGUUGGGUUAAGUCCCGCAACGAGCGCAACCCCUGCUGUCUGUUGCUACCAGGUAAUGCUGAGGACUCAGGCGGUACUGCCGGUGACAAACCGGAGGAAGGUGGGGACGACGUCAAAUCAUCAUGGCCCUUAUGUCCUGGGCUACACACGUGCUACAAUGGCAAGUACAGAGUGACGCGAGACCGCGAGGUGGAGCAAAUCACAUAAAGCUUGUCUCAGUACGGAUUGGAGUCUGAAACUCGACUUCAUGAAGGUGGAAUCGCUAGUAAUCGCGCAUCAGCAUGGCGCGGUGAAUACGUUCCCGGGCCUUGUACACACCGCCCGUCACACCACCCGAGUUGGGGGUACCCGAAGUCGCUUGUCUAACUGUUUACGGAGGACGGCGCCGAAGGUAUGCCUGGUAAGGGGGGUGAAGUCGUAACAAGGUA
rnacentral:rRNA from 1 species